rnacentral:rRNA from 1 species
GCAUAUCAAUAAGCGGAGGAAAAGAAACCAACAGGGAUUGCCUCAGUAACGGCGAGUGAAGCGGCAACAGCUCAAAUUUGAAAUCUGGCCCUAGGCCCGAGUUGUAAUUUGCAGAGGAUGCCUUUGGUGCGGUGCCUUCCAAGUUCCCUAGAACGGGACGCCAGAGAGGGUGAGAGCCCCGUACAGUUGGACACCAAGCCUUUGUAAAGCUCCUUCGACGAGUCGAGUAGUUUGGGAAUGCUGCUCAAAAUGGGAGGUAUAUUUCUUCUAAAGCUAAAUACCGGCCAGAGACCGAUAGCGCACAAGUAGAGUGAUCGAAAGAUGAAAAGCACUUUGAAAAGAGGGUUAAACAGCACGUGAAAUUGUUAAAAGGGAAGCGCUUGUGACCAGACUUGCGUCCGGUGAAUCACCCAGCUCUCGCGGCUGGGGCACUUCGCCGGCUCAGGCCAGCAUCAGCUCGCUGUCGGGGACAAAAGCUUCAGGAACGUAGCUCUCUUCGGGGAGUGUUAUAGCCUGUUGCACAAUACCCUUCGGCGGGCUGAGGUACGCGCUCCGCAAGGAUGCUGGCAUAAUGGUCAUCAGCGACCCGUCUUGAAACACGGACC